UACGUAGGGUGCGAGCGUUAAUCGGAAUUACUGGGCGUAAAGCGUGCGCAGGCGGUUCGUUGUGUCGGCGGUGAAAGCCCUGGGCUUAACCUGGGAACGGCCGUUGAAACUGGCGAACUGGAGUGUGGCAGAGGGGGGUGGAAUUCCGCGUGUAGCAGUGAAAUGCGUAGAGAUGCGGAGGAACACCGAUGGCGAAGGCAGCCCCCUGGGCUAACACUGACGCUCAGGCACGAAAGCGUGGGGAGCAAACAGG
rnacentral:rRNA from 1 species